UGUUCGUCGGAGUGCUAAUUCCGACACUCCCGACCAAAAUGUUUGUAUCUUUUCAGGUGACUAGCUAAAGAUCACAAGCGUACCCCCAAGAUGUUUAAGAGUAUUUCCAAAACCACUUGUCCGCAGCUUAUAAUCACUCCGUUUGAUGAGGCUAAGGCUGCGAAUGGCAAGAACGAUCUCGCAGUGGAGGUGGUCGACGUAGAUGAGGUAGGGAAGGGUAUGGCUAUGGGUUAGUCGGGGUUGAGGCGGUUGAAGGGAACUAGGGUCCUGCUCAUCUCAAGAAGCUCAAUUAUGGUCUCAGCAUCAGCCAACUCGAUGAAUUAGCCACUGAAACUGCUGCUGCCAUGACUGCCAACCAUCCCGACUAUGCUUCU